rnacentral:rRNA from 1 species
CAACCCUCAGUGCCCCCUUCAGGGCCUGGUGUUGGGGGUCGGCCGUCCGCCGUCUGCGCCCGCGCAGGCGGCUGGCCGCCCCCGAAAUGGAUCGGCGGCCCCGUCGCAGCCCUCCUCUUGCGUAGUAGCCUUCUACCACCUCGCAACCAGGAGCGCGGCGCGGCMACUGCCGUAAAACGCCYAACUUUUUUCAAGAG